UUUUUUUUUUUUUUAAAUUAAGUGAUGUCACGGCCAAACUCUUGCUCCUAACAAGGCCCAGCUGGGCCCUGGCCCUGGAGAAAUGCAUGUUGGCAGUGAACUGGGGACUGGCCUCCCUCGACCUGCCCAGGGGCCAGUCCCCCCCCUCCCCACCACCCCCACUUCCUGGGCCUCUGGGAGCAGGCCAGUUUCUUUUCCAGGGGCCAUUGUGGCCACUGAGAGGGAAGAGGCCAUCGUUCCAAGUCACAGAAAGAUAUUUUUGGUGAUUUGCAAACACUCUCCAUUCACCACUGCAAAGGGAAUGCAUCUAAAGUGAAUUCCACCGGCCGCUUUAGGAGCUCAAGGCCCGGCCUGGCUUUCCUUCCUUGGCAGAAGUUGCCAGCUCCAGCCCUGUGGCUUUAGUUCUCGAAGUUGUCAGCUUGGAAGACAGAGGGAGCAUUAAGGGAAGAGAUUAUGUAUUAAGGAAAAUAAGCAGUGGCCUAUAAAUUACCUCAAGUGAAUAAACAAAGUCUGCCUUGGAAAUAGGCUUCUGGGGGAAGGUGAGAGCGAUACACGGGAAUGUAUGAAAUCGGAGAGAAAUGUGUCAAAAACAAAUUACAAACCUUCCCGAUGCAGGAUUACACAUGAAUGGAUGGUAAUAACCACGCCAUCAGUCACACCCCAACGUGUGCGCUGCGGCUUCAUCUCACCACCCAGCGUCAGCUCUCAGGUCAUUAAUGAGCAGCCGCGGUUCUGGAGAGCAGAACAGGAGCGGGACCGGAGGAUGCUGGUUCUGCUUCCAUCGCGUGAUUCAUUUCCUUAUCGACUUCUCUUUUUCUGCCCUCGUGUUGCUAAAAAUGACUUCUGAAGAAAAACAAAGAGCCUUCUUUCAAAAGGAAAAGCUCCAAGUCUGUGCUCUCAGAGUUCACCAGCGAUACAGAGAGGAGACUGCGUCCCUCAAAGAGACUUAAUUAAAGGAACUUACUCGCUCCUUUACACCUAACACCAGAAAACAGCCACGAGAAGUUUUCUGUGUUAACACCACACUUUCCCUUCUUCUCCCCUCGGUAGCGGCAUCUCUCUGUUUCAUGAGAGCUGAACCACUCCACACAAAGAAGAGUUUACUCCAAUACAAACAGAAAUUAUAGGAAGUAUAAAAACCCCACUAAACCCUUUAAUCUCUAACUUUCCAAGCAGGUGAAUUAAUAGAGAGGACAGUCGAGAUUUAUUUCCUCUAAGCUCCAACAGUAAAGAGUGUUUCAAAGUCAUUCUCAAAGCUCUGGAGAUUUUUCAAAUCCAAAUGAACCAAGCUUAACUCUGUCGUGAGAUAUAUAAUAAAACCGACUCCAGGAUUCACCUCCUUAAAGGUAUAGGGUACCUUUGGAUAAGAGAAAAUGAAAUCACAGCAUUCAAACAUAUGUGGCUCUAAUAGUUAAAAAUUUCGACUAAGGGUUUCUUGCUUCAAGCAUAAACUCAAGCUCCUCAAUGGAUGAUGUGAAUCUUAAUUUUAAAAUGAGCCCAAAAAGCAAUUAACUAGAGUGUACACCAGAUGAAGGGAACAAAGUAUAUGCACGUUUACCUGUAAGAACAGUGUCCCCUACCCUGUAAUUCCAGACACAUCAUCAUCACAUGCAUUCGAGCUCAGAACUGCCAGAAGGUCCCUUAUUCUUCUUGAUCCUUGUCACAGCACCUCCUGGAAACUGCUUGUUAUGUAAGAGAAGGUGUAAAUGGUUUUCUUGUCCCUGAAUUUCUUGUCUUACAUAAGACAACACUAAGCAUAUUUCAAAUAAAAGAGUUACAAUUAUCAAUAGCCAUGUCAAAGAUUAAAUACCCAAGCUGAGACAGCCGAGUUAAAAAAGAUGAUAAACUAACACAGAAAGCUUUGAUUUUUCUAGGUAGGGUCUGAAAGGAUACUGUUGAAAAAAAGCAAAAGAAGAGUCAGGAGGCCUUUGGGGAUUAUGGAGUACCAGUCAUUCGGUAACACAGUUAGGACCAAAAAAAAAAAAAAAAAAGUUCGUCAGAUGUUUGUUUUACACUGUAGCAAUUAUCCAAGCUGAAUAAACAAGUGGGCUCUGAAAGGAAGGUUUUGGAGGAAGGUGAGAAGUGUAUGCACAGCUAAGUGAGGUCAGAACGAUGCAAGUUAAUUUAUUGUGCUGAAGUGGAAGCAUCCAUGACGAGAAUGGCCUUCGGACCAUGUCAGAUUCAUCAACAUCCCACAGGAGGCCCAAGAAAUGGAACUCACGACUCCACAUCCCAACACCUUCUAGACACCACCGGAUAAAGGAUGUGAGUGUGUGUCCUGAAUAAACAUGAGCAAUGACCAGGCACUGCCGGACAUGUCAGAGACGUAUAAUCCACUUUAAAUUAAUUUUGAAUUCAUCAAAACACACUUUGCAAAGUAACUUACUGACAAUGAUUCCAGAGACGCUUAAAAAACAUAUUCGAGCUUUGCCGAGAUACAGUUCCCAGACUGUAUCAUUUAGCCAAUUAACGUGUACAGUGGGGGAGAGAGUCUGAGAUGAACAGAUGCUCGCUACUAUGGAUAAACGAGAUAAACAACAAGGACCUACUGUAGAGCACCGGGAACUAUGGCCAGUACCCUGUAAUAACCUAAAAUGCAGAUGAAUCUGAAAAAGGAGGUAACUGAAUCACUUUGCUGUACACCUGAAACAAACACACUAUAAAUCAAUUCCACUUCAAUUAAAGCAUAAUAAAGUAUGCGAUUAAUGGGUUCUUAGCAUAAGCACAAAUAAGUGAGAACAUCACCAAUGUCAAGAGAAAAGAAGAGAAAAUACACGAGAAGAGGCACACGUUCUUGGGGGGCGCAUUCCUCGGACUUCGUUGUUGUUGGGUUUCUCAUGAUUUCCCGUGGUAAAAGAGCUCCAUCCGCCUGGCUGCCAAAUAAACUCUCUUCCCAAAUAAAGUGAGAGCGGGCAAGAGAAAAACUGCUCAUUCGCAAAACGGAGACUCACCGAGUUAAAAAAUUAAGUUGUACAGAUCAGAAAUGUAAUCAUAGGAGACAAGCUCUGAGAGUUUUUCAAUCACUGUGGGGCUGCAUCAAUUUAAAGUCAUGUUACAUUAAAGAGAAAAACGUCUCCAAGAGUCUCCCUGUGUCACUUUAGAUUAGAUUUGUUGUUGUUAUCAGGCUGUGCAUUUUGUCGGCUUUAUUUUACAUUUUAAAGAUAUUGCUUAAUGCCCAUAAAUAAGAAACGUCACCUAUGACUUGUUCUCAGCCACCCAGGGAAUAGGAGACAGCACAAAUUAACACAGAGAAUAAAACCUCAUGUCCGUCAAGAUUCGUAUUAACUAACUCCACAUCCAGUGAUUUUAACUCCGUUCCCCUUAAUUGAAGAGUUAUACAAAAAAAUCAAGCUGUGGUCCACUUCCCUUCACCUGUCCUACCACGUAGGAGGCAAGUGGACAGUCCCAUCCAGUUUGUCUCAAUGUCUCGUCAAGUGCGACUUCCUUCAUCUCGCCAGGCUCUUGUUAAAGGGUCUAUGAGUUUAAUCCUGGGCUCCCAGGGCUUCUAAACAUCAGGAGGCAUAAAAGUGACACUUCACCAAUUUAAGUGAUAAGUUUUCAAAUUGUGAGGCAUCUAAUUGUAACAAUAAAUUCCCUUUGCUUUCCUCCAUGGCCAGACAUCUGUAUCUUUAACAAACAAAAGUGGCAGUUUAAAAACAAUUAGACUCUGCAACCCUCGCGGAUAAAUGUCAGUCUCCACAGACGGCACGUAACUCGGAAGUGCGUCUCCACGUCCUGGCCCACGCAGGCCAAGCACAUGCAGAGUUAGGGGAGGCCCUGGCCUGGAAGUAACGCCUUGCUCGCUUUGCUUUCUGGGGUGGAGAUGGAGGUGCACAUCCAAACAACAACAGAGGAAACUUGAAGGCCUCACCGGGACGAAGACGAAUGCAGCAACGGCAUCACUACGCACUCUCUUUUCCCUUAGAAGCAGGAGAGUGGACGGCGUACUGGUGGGCAGUACCAUCGGAUAAAAGGCUGUUUGCCAGCUCCCACAUUCCAACCCUCACACCCACCAACGAACGGCCACCUAGUGACAAGGACAUGAAGCACACACAACGAAGGACAAGGGUGGUGGAAAACUCGAGGGGCCUGGAUAGGAAUGGGCCUCUGCUUCCCACGGAAAUACAAGAAGCUGGCAUCUGGGUUCUGCACUGGCUCUGAGCUGCCAAGGGCAUGAAGUCUGCAAGGAUCUCUGAGGGUCACGGACGAUGCUCCACUUCCGGCUUAUAUGCUGACUUCAGAACCUGCCCCUGCAGGCGAUGGGUCUCCAGGGCCUUCGGGGCAGACAGAAUUAUUUAUCCCUGUCUCCCUAUACAUUAAACACCCUUUCCUGGGAGGUGAGAUAACUGUGUGCCGAACGAAUGGGCAAGUCUUAUAUUUAACGUUUCAAGCAGGUAAGCAACACUUCACACGACAGCCAAUCAGAGAUUUCUCUUCUGAGCCCCCAUUAAUCUCUCUGGUCUCUAUUAAGGUCGGAAGCUCAGAACCCGGCAGAACAGUCUAGUGAGGCUCUGAUUGCGUCAGGAGGAUCAGGCUCCACAUGGCAGGGCAGUGUUCUGUCCCUGGUACUGCUCUGGCCCCUGUGAUCGUUCAGGGACCUUUAUUCAUUAUCUGCUGCUCAAAUAAAGGCUAUUGCCUCCUUGUCUACUGCCUCCUCUUACAUCUUUCAUUUGUUUUUGUUUUUUCCUUUCUUCCCAACCAAGGUUAUACCUAUAUAAACACUGUUUCUACCAACCAAGUGUCCUCACUUUGGGUACCAUCUAUCCUCUCUACGCACCCUUGGAGGCAGGGAGGGAAGUUAGGACGAAGCACGAAGGCAGCACUGGAUUUGUAUUACUGUGUCUGAGCAGCAAGAUGCCAGCUCAGCAGGGCGGGCAGAACAAUCCCACUCCCAAAGGCGUCCAAGUCCUGGUCCUCGGAACCUGCGAAUACAGGUCAGGCAGCAAAAGGGAUUCCGGUUGCAGGUGAAAUUAAGGUUGCCUAUCAGCUGAACUUAGAGCAAUGACCUUGGAUUAUCGAGGUGGGCCAAUGGAAGCACAAGGGGCCUGAAAGGUGGAAGGAGGUGGCAGAAGAGGAGUGUCGCAGGAAGACAUUCAGUAAAGAGAACGGCACCUUGCUCGCUGGGGCCACGGCCAAGGAAUGGGGCAGCUAGAAAGGCAGGGAAAGAGAUUCUCCCUGGAGCUUCCAGAGGGAAUGCAGCCCAGCUAACACCUCAAUCCCAGCCCAGUGAGGCCCGUGUCAGACUUCUAUCCUGCACAACUGUAAGAGAAUAAAUGCCUGGAGUUCAGCUGCUGAGUUUGUGCUAAUGUGUCACAGCAGCAAGAAGAAACUAAUACGACUACAACGGGUAUAAGGGGUGUAAGUCAUCAGUCAAGCCACUGGUUUGCUGAUCUGCCAGUCUCCAAGCAAAUGGAUCAUCUGCUUUAAAAUAAUUAGGCCACACUUUUGGGGUCAAAAUGAUUUUUUUAUCGUCUUUAUUACUUUUGUCAUGGGUGGAGGUGACAGUGACAGGCUCAUGGCAGCAAGCACCGAGUACGUGGUGAUUUGCAGGGCUUGUCAUCAAACCCUGACACAGACCCCAAGAGGUAAGAGCAAUUACGAACCACAUUUUAAAGAUGGGGAAACAAGUUCAGAGGGGUCUGGCACCUGGCCAAAGACCACAAAGGGAGGGACUGGCGGGGCCUGGACAUGAACCCUUCAGUCUGACCUUGAAAACACUCAAAAACACUCAGAGGCUUCUGGCAAGAGCAACAGCAGUGACCUUGGGUGACUAGCCUGUGGCAGGGAUAGGGAUCCUGAGACCCAAGGGUCUGUGAGGUCAGCAUGAAAGAUAGCAGACAGGCAAGGGGGCUCUGAUCAGCCAGCUGCCCCCCCCCCCAGCCCACUGGCCACAACUGGGGGGGACAGCCCAGCCACCAGUUUCGGCAAGCACAAGAGCCAAGGGAGGCUCAGAGCAAAGCAUGACACGUCGAUCAGCUCCUGCUCUGUGGCAGUGGGGCCUGUCCCUCACACCCCGGACAGGUCUCAGACAGCCUCCUGAAACUGCCCUGGGGGCCCCAGAGGCCCUGAGGUCUCUGGAGCUUGUCACUCAGGCACCGAAUACACUUAGUCUAAUUGGAUAUUAUUCCUUCUUUAUGAAGCCAAGCAGGUUGUUACCUGGUUCCCUGGGUGAGACAUUUGCAGCUUCAUUCUGCAAUUAUGUGUCCCUGGUAUUUGUCAUGGCACAGAAGGGAAAUCUCUGUGUCGCUGGUCCCCAAUGUCAUCUUUUCCUACUGUUUAAAACGUAGAUGCUACGCUAGGUCUUUUUUAAUCUGUGAGUGCUUUUCCAUCCUCGACAGAAGGAAGACAAAAAAAAAAAAAAAAACCUGGAUAUCCAACCAAUUAUUUUCUAACCCACAUUAAAAAUAGAUGCCAUCUCCAUCGAAGCUGUGGCUAUCGUGAGGACUGCUCACAUUUGUCCUGGCCCUUCGAUUCUCUGGGGACACACAGUAGGACUGCUCUUUCCCGUGCUUCUCAAGUCAGGCGUGGCUGUGGACUUAUUUUGGCCAAUGAACUGUGGCUGGAAGCACUACUUCUGGGUGAAAGCUUCACAAUGUGGCACUUGCUUGCCACAUCCCCUUCCCUCUCCAGAAAUACAAGAGGCACAUGUACGAGACGGUGCCGAGGUCAGCCCAGGUCCCUGAGUGACUUGAACAGGCAGAGCCCCUCUUCCUACUGGUCAGCUGUCAUGAGUGAGAAAUAAACUCACUGUGUAAAGCCACUGAGAUCUGGGGAUGUUUGUUACUGCAGCACAACCUAGUACGGCCCAACUGGUAAAAGCCCUUAUAAAAGUUCCACCUCCUUGUCAUGAAGUAAGCCUUCUGUUUUGCCCCCAAACGUAUGGGACUGCUCCUGAGUUAUCAGAGGUGGGCCAGGCAGGCGCUGGAGGCUGUAAGAUCUAGCCUGAGUCUAGCAUCCUUUCUGGCUCCACCCCCUCUCGUUCUGCAGCACACCCUCUUUUUUGGACCUAGUCCAUGUUCAUGGAGCAAAAAUCUGGACCUCACUCUUCUCACCACCUCAUCUUGAGAGAGUUACAAGCAGACUCACCCAUAUUUCAAUUACAAAACGCAAAUCCAGUCAGCCCAUCAGGCCUCCUGGGGCUUUCUCGGAUCCAGCAUGAGCCACACGUGGGUCAAGGACGGGGUCAUUCCUCUGCCUCCCCCUGGAAAACCACCACGAAUCCCCAUCCUUUCAGAAUGCCUCCACGAUGGCUUCCUCUGAGGGGACAUCUUUUCCUACCAACCUGCAGUGACCAACCUCUGCCCUCGGGGAAGAAAUCAACACACUCCUUUCUCCAGCGAGUCAGGCUUCCCCCCGUGAUGGUGUCUGACGGCCAACGAAGCAGAGCCGAACCGUUCUCGGUGCUGUGGCCAGAGGCUCCACUCUGGACCAAGGUCAGUACCCCUGCUGAGUGCCUCGCCAGGAAGGGCCGUUCAUAGCCCCGAUUCCCAAGCAGGAUGCCCACCUGCUGGCUGCCCUCUCCCAUCUUUCCCAAACAAACCCCCCAAAGAGAACAUGGUCAAAUACACAAAGCUGCCAUGAUCACCAGCUAGGGACCUGGCACACGCUACUGCUAAAGGCCACUGUACACUCAAGCUCAGCGGGGUUAGACGGCAGUCAACGGCAAAACUUGGAUUUGAACCAGGUUUUGCGACACUGAGCUCAUGCCCCUCCCAUGCCCCCAGACUUCCGUCCCUCCACCUUUUCUCUGUCCCCUUCUCCCUGCCGGGAAGAGCCUCGCCAAGGACGGUGCCCUGCCAAGCCUUGUUCCUGUUUUCCCCAUCGGCCAUCAAACAUCACCCAGACCCACUCUGAAGUCUUCCUGCUGGAUGCCCUUUCCCACAGUGUUGGGGUCUCACUGUCCGAGGCUCUAAGAAAACACCGGAGGACUGCGCGGCUUAACCAGCAGAUACGCUUCUCCCGGUUCUGGAGGAUGGACGUGCGCAACGAAGAUGGGAAUGGACCCCGCUCCCAGGGCGCGCCCCUCCCUGGCUCACAGCCGGCCACCCCCUGCAAACAGCUCACACGGCCUCUCCUCCGGGAGCGCCUGGGCGGAGGAAGCGCCCUCUCUUCCUCUUCUUCUCAGGACACCAGUCACGUGGUGGGCACGCUCAUGACCUCCUCUCACCCUCAUCACCUCCCGAAGACCCCACCUCCAAACGCCGUCACCCUGGGGGGCUAGGGCUCCGACACAUGAGUUCAGGGGAGAUACAAAUAUUCAUCCCGUGCCCGUCGAUACCGGAGGGAGUGUGCUCGUUCAAGGCACAGAGUCUCGCUGCCUACUUUUUCUAAGUUCCCAAGGUGCCACUCUCUGCGCCUCCUAAGACCUCACAAUGCCGCAAGGGCAGCGGCGGUGGCAGCGACUGCCGACAUCCACAAGCGCUUUCCAGGUGCCAGGUACUCUAGUAAGCAGUUCACCUACGGGACCUCUAUCUGUUCUACGCUGCACCACACGCAUCUCUCCCUUUCUGCUCACAUGUCACCUCACUACCAAAGACUGCCCCCCCCAACCCUGACCAAAGCAGUGCUCAGAACACAUAUCUGAGAAAUGAAGGAAUGAAGCCCUUCAAAGCCAUGUCCAUGGACUCCUUGUGAUGUGUGAGUCCCUGGCAAGGGCCCUGAAAAGACUCUGGCGGCUCCAUCGUGGCCUUCCUGAGAAGGAAUACCCACCCACCCCCUCUGAGGAGACUGACAGCACUGGGGGACUCAUGGGGCCCCAUCGUCUUCCCCGGAGCCAGGCCAGGGCCAGAAUCAGAACCCCAAAUAAAUGCCUUUCAGCCCUGCAGCCUCUCAGUAUGAAGAGCUCAAGUAUCUUUAAUCAAACGUUAGAGCCUCAAAUUGCCCACCAUUCUAGAAAUGCCUUCAGUUACUAUGGAUUUAUCAGUGAAGAGAACGAAAUAAAGAAAAUUUGUUCUAUAGUUAAAGCCAAGGCCACUUUAUCCCAGAUGUACUUAAAUCACACAGCUCUUAACAGAAUCUUUAACGAUAAAUACACUAAAUUUG
rnacentral:lncRNA from 1 species